GCUGGCGGCGUNCCUAACACAUGCAAGUCGGACGCGAAAGCUCCUUCGGGAGUGAGUAGAGUGGCGCACGGGUGAGUAACGCGUAGGUAAUCUACCUCUGGAUUGGGGAUAACUCUGCGAAAGCGGAGCUAAUACCGAAUGGUCUGGCUUUAUUUUGAUGAAGUCGGUAAAGGAUGCCUCUGCAUAUGCAUCUGUCCGGAGAUGAGCCUGCGUCCCAUUAGCUAGUUGGUAGGGUAAAGGCCUACCAAGGCGACGAUGGGUAGCUGGUCUGAGAGGAUGAUCAGCCACACUGGAACUGGAACACGGUCCAGACUCCUACGGGAGGCAGCAGUGGGGAAUAUUGGGCAAUGGGCGCAAGCCUGACCCAGCAACGCCGUGUGAGGGAUGAAGGCCUUCGGGUCGUAAACCUCUGUCAGAAGGGAAGAACGGGCACAGUUCGAAUAGGGCUGUGUUUUGACGGUACCUUCAGAGGAAGCACCGGCUAACUCCGUGCCAGCAGCCGCGGUAAUACGGAGGGUGCGAGCGUUAUUCGGAAUCACUGGGCGUAAAGGGCGCGUAGGCGGCCUGGUAAGUCAGGGGUGAAAUCCCACGGCUCAACCGUGGAAUUGCCUUUGAAACUGCUGGGCUUGGAUCCUGGAGAGGGUGGCGGAAUUCCUGGUGUAGGAGUGAAAUCCGUAGAUAUCAGGAGGAACACCGGUGGCGAAGGCGGCCGCCUGGACAGGUAUCGACGCUGAGGCGCGAAAGUGUGGGGAGCAAACAGGAUUAGAUACCCUGGUAGUCCACACCGUAAACGAUGGAUACUAGGUGUUGGGGGCAUGACCCUCAGUGCCGGA
rnacentral:rRNA from 1 species